rnacentral:rRNA from 1 species
GGUGACUGCGUACCUUUUGUAUAAUGGGUCAGCGACUUAUAUUCUGUAGCAAGGUUAACCGAAUAGGGGAGCCGAAGGGAAACCGAGUCUUAACUGGGCGUUAAGUUGCAGGGUAUAGACCCGAAACCCGGUGAUCUAGCCAUGGGCAGGUUGAAGGUUGGGUAACACUAACUGGAGGACCGAACCGACUAAUGUUGAAAAAUUAGCGGAUGACUUGUGGCUGGGGGUGAAAGGCCAAUCAAACCGGGAGAUAGCUGGUUCUCCCCGAAAGCUAUUUAGGUAGCGCCUCGUGAACUCAUCUUCGGGGGUAGAGCACUGUUUCGGCUAGGGGGUCAUCCCGACUUACCAACCCGAUGCAAACUACGAAUACCGAAGAAUGUUAUCACGGGAGACACACGGCGGGUGCUAACGUCCGUCGUGAAGAGGGAAACAACCCAGACCGCCAGCUAAGGUCCCAAAGUCAUGGUUAAGUGGGAAACGAUGUGGGAAGGCACAGACAGCCAGGAUGUUGGCUUAGAAGCAGCCAUCAUUUAAAGAAAGCGUAAUAGCUCACUGGUCGAGUCGGCCUGCGCGGAAGAUGUAACGGGGCUAAACCAUGCACCGAAGCUGCGGCAGCGACACUAUGUGUUGUUGGGUAGGGGAGCGUUCUGUAAGCCGUUGAAGGUGGCCUGUGAGGGUUGCUGGAGGUAUCAGAAGUGCGAAUGCUGACAUAAGUAACGAUAAUGCGGGUGAAAAACCCGCACGCCGGAAGACCAAGGGUUCCUGUCCAACGUUAAUCGGGGCAGGGUGAGUCGACCCCUAAGGCGAGGCCGAAAGGCGUAGUCGAUGGGAAACAGGUUAAUAUUCCUGUACUUGGUGUUACUGCGAAGGGGGGACGGAGAAGGCUAUGUUAGCCGGGCGACGGUUGUCCCGGUUUAAGCAUGUAGGCGGAGAUUCCAGGUAAAUCCGGAGUCUUGUUAACGCUGAGGUGUGAUGACGAGGCACUACGGUGCUGAAGUAACAAAUGCCCUGCUUCCAGGAAAAGCCUCUAAGCAUCAGGUAACACAAAAUCGUACCCCAAACCGACACAGGUGGUCAGGUAGAGAAUACCAAGGCGCUUGAGAGAACUCGGGUGAAGGAACUAGGCAAAAUGGUGCCGUAACUUCGGGAGAAGGCACGCUGAUAUGUAGGUGAAGUGAUUUACUCAUGGAGCUGAAAUCAGUCGAAGAUACCAGCUGGCUGCAACUGUUUAUUAAAAACACAGCACUGUGCAAACACGAAAGUGGACGUAUACGGUGUGACGCCUGCCCGGUGCCGGAAGGUUAAUUGAUGGGGUUAUCCUCGCGGAGAAGCUCUUGAUCGAAGCCCCGGUAAACGGCGGCCGUAACUAUAACGGUCCUAAGGUAGCGAAAUUCCUUGUCGGGUAAGUUCCGACCUGCACGAAUGGCGUAAUGAUGGCCAGGCUGUCUCCACCCGAGACUCAGUGAAAUUGAACUCGCUGUGAAGAUGCAGUGUACCCGCGGCAAGACGGAAAGACCCCGUGAACCUUUACUAUAGCUUGACACUGAACACUGGUCCUUGAUGUGUAGGAUAGGUGGGAGGCUUUGAAGUGUGGACGCCAGUCUGCAUGGAGCCAACCUUGAAAUACCACCCUUUAAUGGCUGGUGUUCUAACGUAGACCCGUGAUCCGGGUUGCGGACAGUGUCUGGUGGGUAGUUUGACUGGGGCGGUCUCCUCCUAAAGAGUAACGGAGGAGCACGAAGGUUAGCUAAUCCUGGUCGGACAUCAGGAGGUUAGUGCAAUGGCAUAAGCUGGCUUGACUGCGAGCGUGACGGCGCGAGCAGGUGCGAAAGCAGGUCAUAGUGAUCCGGUGGUUCUGAAUGGAAGGGCCAUCGCUCAACGGAUAAAAGGUACUCCGGGGAUAACAGGCUGAUACCGCCCAAGAGUUCAUAUCGACGGCGGUGUUUGGCACCUCGAUGUCGGCUCAUCACAUCCUGGGGCUGAAGUAGGUCCCAAGGGUAUGGCUGUUCGCCAUUUAAAGUGGUACGCGAGCUGGGUUUAGAACGUCGUGAGACAGUUCGGUCCCUAUCUGCCGUGGGCGCUGGAGAAUUGAGGGGGGCUGCUCCUAGUACGAGAGGACCGGAGUGGACGCAUCACUGGUGUUCGGGUUGUCAUGCCAAUGGCAUUGCCCGGUAGCUAAAUGCGGAAGAGAUAAGUGCUGAAAGCAUCUAAGCACGAAACUUGCCCCGAGAUGAGUUCU